UGUUGCUUCCCCGCUCAAGUGUUGGUUAGGCUGGAUUGUUAUAAUACUUUUGCAUCCACCAUCCUUGCCAGAGUAUGAAAAAAUGACAUCUAGAUUUUUGUCUUUCAGAAUCAAACACAGGCAGCUGCCCCCCAGAAACAUCAAACUCCAGGCGCCUGGAGGAGCCACAAGUGGCGUCCCAGCUCUCUGUUCAACUUACUUACACGACCUAUCGUGAGGAGCCGCCGAACAAUCCCAUCCGUCCGGCUACAACAGUUGUCAGAGGGCUGGUGAUGACCUGCCUGGCGGGGGCCGCCCUCACGGCAUGUCUUAUGAUGAUCCGCUGGUACCGGCACGUGCCUUAAUGGUCAUCCACUGCUCCCUCUAAGCUGCGCGCGUGCGCAAUAGCGCACUGCUGACACUCUCCGAGCACAGAAAAUCUAGGCGGCGCACAGGUAAGAAAAAAAACUUGAAUUCAAAAUAAAAUAAAUACAUAAAAAUUUAUUUGGAGCUAUUUUUCAAUGUGAGUCAGUGAAUGUGACUGGUGACUAACUGCUCCAGCCUAUUAUGCGGUUCACGUACGUAAUGACGCAGGUAAACAACGUCACUGACAGCCUCCUUUCAUGCCGCGACCAGUGUUUUGGAGGG